rnacentral:rRNA from 1 species
GUGGUUGACGUCAAACACGUCGCGCACUUCGCCCCCUCCCCCUCACGGUUCCAUUUACUCCUCCCCUCAGUUACUCGCACAACCCACCCCGCAGUUCAGUCGAUUGGAGGAGAAGGCGAGAGGAGAAGGCGACGGCGGAGGCGGAAGAGUCGACGGCAUUCGCGGCCAUCGGUGGGACUCGCCGGACCGGAGCGUCUUCGCCGGAGCGCCUACAGAUUGAGGGCGGGUUCGCGAUGCGCCGGCGUUCCCGCCGGCGGCGGAGUCUUGUGCUUGCCGUUUUCGGUGGCAUUGAGCAGUUUCGUCGCCACCGCGGUGGCGGUCACGCCGCAGAAGAAGAAACGUAAUCGCAAUAGGGCUUCACAGGAACGCCUGACUAUAUUGACCGAGGGAUUCACUGACGACCAGAAGGGAGCUGCUGCCGAGUUGGGGAUGCAGGCUCUGAUGGAUGUUCGGUGCAAGAAUCUAGUGAACCCUGUAUGUGUCUGGCUCGGUGAGAUUUACGAGCCCGCCUCCAGGGAAUUUGUGAUUCCGGGAUGUGGAAGACUGUCGUUAGACGAGGAAUCCAUGUUCUGCACGUUGGGUGUGCCCCGUGGACAAAUCAAAGUCCCAUAUGAGGUCAAUAAUACGAUUGAGGAAACGUUGUUUGCCCGUUUGUUUCCUGGGAUGAGAUCCAUGCCGAACACGACCGUGCUGGCAACUUCGCUGGAGGGCAUGAAAACCCAUGGCGAAGUUUUUAAGAUGAAGCUACUCAUGUACCUGAUCUCAGCUGUUUUUGCGCCGACCACAUCUCUUCGCCCAAGCAACAAAUGCUUCCCCAUCCUGGAAAAACUGAAAGAACUGAAGAACAUGAAUUGGUGUAAGUUCAUUGCGGACUUCCUGCAUGAUGCAUUCUCAAACAAGAUGUACCGGAAGGGUUGUCGACUCCAUUUAAUGCUCAUGUAUGUCGACCGUCUUGAUCUGGCCACUGUGGACUUUACUGGGAUAGGAGGCCCACCGCCUCCACACAAGUUUGUUGUUUCUGCGUGGACUUAUGAUGCUGUCAAGGCUGCGCUUGCCGCGGACAAGAUAACUGAUAAGAAAUACGGGAAACUGCAGCUGAUGGCCAAGCAUGCUAUAGACUACAACGUGUUUGGUGGGCCUCAAAACUUUGGAAAGUGGAUGGACGUGCACUCAGCUCUGUCUUGUCCUGUUGAGGCGAGGGCACCUGUUGAGCAUCUAAUUGGGCAGUUUGCAUCCGGAAUGACCAGCUUGCUCGGGAAGUUGGUUGAGGGUUGGACGUCCCUUAAUGGCUCUGACAGCGACGCGGUUGCGAGGCAUUUCACUCCUUUUGUCACAGAACGGACACAUCGGCCAACUGGUUGUCGUGGUCGGUACGACUACAAUAGCUCGCAGGAGCUUCCGGACACACAAGAUGAACUAGAUGGAGAUGCUGCUCUCGACAAGGACGAUGACGAUGACAUGGAGAACGUGCAUCAUGACACCGACGAUGAUGAACAUGUUGAAGUUCGUGCAGGUGGUAAGAAGGGCAAGGGUGCACCAGAUGUCCCCUCACCGGAGAAAGUCAAAGAACAUACAGCUGCGAGAGGCAAGGGGGUGUCGCCCUCAAAGAGGGGGAGGGAUCCAGAGGAUGUUGGGCAGGGCUCUCCUGUCAAGAGACCUAGGACCGAUCCCUUA